rnacentral:misc_RNA from 1 species
UGGCUCUCGCAUCGAUGAAGAACGCAGCGAAUUGCGAUAAGUAAUGUGAAUUGCAGAAUUCAGUGAAUCAUCGAAUCUUUGAACGCACCUUGCGCUCCUUGGUAUUCCGAGGAGCACGCCUGUUCGAGUGUCGUGAAUAUCUCAAACUCUAGCACUUUGUUGAGUUAGGGUUUGGACUUGGACGUUGCCGUGCUGUUAAAGUGCGGCUGGUCUUAAAUAUAUUAGCUGAUCCAUGCUUGCAUGUUUGGUUCUACUCGGCGUGAUAAUUCUCUGACCGCUGAGGACAUUUGCUUUGUUGUGAAUGGCCUAAUGUGCCUUAGAUUGCUUCUAAUCUGUCUGCCUUGCGCAACAACCUUUCAAUUUUGACCUCGAAUCAGGUGGGACUACCCGCUGA